rnacentral:rRNA from 1 species
UACGAAGGGGGCUAGCGUUGCUCGGAAUCACUGGGCGUAAAGGGCGCGUAGGUGGGUUGGUAAGUCAGUGGUGAAAUACUUUCGCUUAACGAAGGAACUGCCAUUGAUACUACCAGUCUUGAAUACAGUGGAGGUAGGCGGAAUGCGUCAUGUAGCGGUGAAAUGCUUAGAUAUGACGCAGAACACCAAUUGCGAAGGCAGCUUGCUACACUGUUAUUGACACUGAGGCACGAAAGCGUGGGGAUCAAACAGG